UACGAAGGGGGCUAGCGUUGUUCGGAAUUACUGGGCGUAAAGCGUGCGCAGGCGGCCAUUCAAGUCAGGGGUGAAAGCCCAGAGCUCAACUCUGGAACUGCCCUUGAAACUGUAUGGCUUGAGUACGAGAGAGGUGAGUGGAAUUCCCAGUGUAGAGGUGAAAUUCGUAGAUAUUGGGAAGAACACCGGUGGCGAAGGCGGCUCACUGACUCGUAACUGACGCUCAUGCACGACAGCGUGGGGAGCGAACAGG
rnacentral:rRNA from 1 species